UCCUUGUCCACCUUCAAGCUUAUUGGGGGUGAGCUCCACCACUGAAAAGCUGGCGCCGCCAUCGGCGUGACGUGGUAUGAGAGAUCACGUGGACACAGC
rnacentral:lncRNA from 1 species